CCUUCGAUAGCUCAGUUGGUAGAGCGGUGGACUGUAGGGGUAAUAAUGAAAUUAUUGAUAUCCAUAGGUCGCUGGUUCAAAUCCGGCUCGAAGGA
rnacentral:tRNA from 1 species